AGUGAACGCUGGCGGUAGGCCUAACACAUGCAAGUCGAACGGCAGCACAGUAAGAGCUUGCUCUUACGGGUGGCGAGUGGCGGACGGGUGCGGAAUACAUCGGAAUCUACUUUUUCGUGGGGGAUAACGUAGGGACACUUACGCUAAUACCGCAUAUGAACUAAGGGUGAAAGCAGGGGAUCUUCGGACCUUGCGCGAUUGAAUGAGCCGAUGUCGGAUUAGCUAGUUGGCGGGGUAAGGGCCCACCAAGGCGACGAUCCGUUGCUGGUCUGAGAGGAUGAUCAGCCACAAUGGAACUGAGACACGGUCCAGACUCCUACGGGAGGCAGCAGUGGGGAAUAUUGGACAAUGGGCGCAAGCCUGAUCCAGCCAUACCGCGUGGGUGAAGAAGGCCUUCGGAUUGUAAAGCCCUUUUGUUGGGAAAGAAAAGCAGCAGGUUAAUACCCCGCUGUUCUGACGGUACCCAAAGAAUAAGCACCGGCUAACUUCGUG
rnacentral:rRNA from 1 species